rnacentral:rRNA from 1 species
UACGUAGGGGGCAAGCGUUGUCCGGAAUCAUUGGGCGUAAAGAGCUCGUAGGCGGUUCGAUAAGUCGGACGUGAAAUCUCCACGCUCAACGUGGAGGGGCCGUUCGAUACUGUCGUGACUCGAGUCCGGUAGGGGAGUGUGGAAUUCCCGGUGUAGCGGUGAAAUGCGCAGAGAUCGGGAGGAACACCGAUGGCGAAGGCAGCCCCCUGGGUCAAGAUUGACGCUCCAUGCAC